GGGGAAACCCUGACGCAGCAACGCCGCGUGAGUGAAGAAGGCCUUCGGGUCGUAAAGCUCUGUCAAGAGGGACGAAGUCUUAUGUGUAAAUAGCAUAUGAGGUGACAGUACCUAAAGAGGAAGCCCCGGCUAACUACGUGCCAGCAGCCGCGGUAAUACGUAGGGGGCGAGCGUUGUCCGGAAUUACUGGGCGUAAAGGGCGUGUAGGCGGUUAAUUAAGUCAGGUGUGAAAACUGUGGGCUCAACCCAGAGCAUGCAUCUGAAACUGGUUAACUUGAGGGUAGGAGAGGAAAGUGGAAUUCCUAGUGUAGCGGUGAAAUGCGUAGAUAUUAGGAGGAACACCAGUGGCGAAGGCGACUUUCUGGCCUAACCCUGACGCUGAGGCGCGAAAGCGUGGGGAGCAAACAGGAUUAGAUACCCUGGUAGUCCACGCCGUAAACGAUGGGUACUAGGUGUAGGAGGUAUCGACCCCUUCUGUGCCGUAGCAAACGCACUAAGUACCCCGCCUGGGGAGUAC
rnacentral:rRNA from 1 species